UUAUCGAGGAAUCAUUUUCGGGUCUCAAUCCUAUGAUGGCUGCAAUUUCAAUGAUGUCCUUUGGCAACCCCAACAUCUCCUUAGAGGGACUUAAAGAUGCAGAUUUUGAAUCACUUCAAAGUGAUCAGCUCUUGAGUGAUGUUUACUAUGAAUGUGAGAAGGAUCUUUUAGAGAAAGCAGCAAUACAAACACCGUUCUCUGAAGUUCUCGAUCUUAAGAGUCAGACUUCAAAUAUGGACGAACACCAAAUUCCAGAAGACAAAUCAGUUCCUGAUGCAACACUUCAGAAGAGUGUUAGCUCAGGAUGCUUAAGGUCAAUGGACUGGAUGCAAG
rnacentral:misc_RNA from 1 species